AAUUUACAUCAGGGAGACAGAGAAGUGCCGCCACGGUUCUGGGAUAAAAGCAACAGAGAAUCUGGUCACUGAUGGCCUUUGAUGGAAUAAGGUGGAAUAACAAAGAGACAAGCUGAAGGAGAGUCCAAGGUUUCUAGCUGUGAGGACAGAGUAAAGCCAUUUACCUGGAGUUGAACCCAACCAGAAGGCAGAGUCAUGAGCAUCCACUGCUGUGGUCCAUACAGAUCAAUAUUCCAGGAAGAGUGCAGGAUGAAGAAGAGAAUGAGGAGAUCUGACCCUAAGGAGGAAACAGAAAUUUUAAAUAAAGUAUCACAGAGUGGAAGGCUUCUUGUCACUUAUGAUCUCUACUCAUUCAAUAACU
rnacentral:lncRNA from 1 species